rnacentral:rRNA from 1 species
GUCUUUUUGUUAAAAAUUUAAAGUCGGGCCUGCCCACUGAAAACUUAAAUGGCCGUGGUAUUUUGACCGUGCUAAGGUAGCAUAAUCAUUAGUUUUUUAAUUGAAAGCUGGAAUGAAGGGUUUGAUAAAAAAAUGACUGUCUCUAUUUAAUUUUAUUAAAAUUUUAUUUUUAAGUUCAAAAGCUUAAUUUUAAUUAAAAGACGAGAAGACCCUAUAGAGUUUAAUAAUAAAAAUUAAUUUUUAUUUUAGAAUUAAUUUAUUUAUUUAUUGAUAUUAUUUAAUUGGGGUGAUUGAAAAAUUUAGUUAACUUUUUUUAUAUUAAAUCAUUAAUUUAUGAAUAUUUGAUCCAAUUUUUUUGAUUAUAAGAUAAAAUUACCUUAGGGAUAACAGCGUAAUUUUUUUAGAAAGUUCAAAUUAAAAAAAAAGAUUGCGACCUCGAUGUUGGAUUAAAAUUAAGUUUUGGUGUAGAAGCUAAAAAUUUAAGUCUGUUCGACUUUUAAAAUUUUACA